AUUAUUAUGUACCAGCGGUUCUCAAACUAUAAGUAUACUUUGUUCGCGGAGCCUUUAAGUUGCUGUAAAAUAACCUACAGAGUUUCCCGAUUCCCAGACAUCACAAACGCCAGUUUUCGACCAGAGCUCGUUUGGUUUUUAAUUUGUUUUCUUCGUGCGAUGACAACAUAUUCGAUUUAAUUAGUACUUACAGUUCAAAAACAUAUUGCAGUGUGUACAACGCGCCGCAAUUCGGCAAGCACCGUAAAUUACAACAUUAGAACUAUUAGGAACAACUUGGUCACACAAAACGAACUGUGGAGAACCAUUAGCGUCGGCAUCUGCUAUCUAUAAUAUAGAUGAAACAAUAGUGAUGAAACUUUCGUUGUAGCCAUUCAUCGCGUCUACGUCUCAAUCGCAUCGGAGCUUUGGCAGGAGGACUCGAUCUAUACUGUGUUACCCGCCGUCGCCAUGCCGUGCAGUCUGCGAACAAUCAUCGUCCGUGUGAAUUUCAAGUACAACAAUCAGAUCUGCGCCACCGUGUACGUAACAAUAUUCGUGUACUGGUUUUCGUUGUGACCACAAGAAUCCGUACAAAAUGCAUCAGACGAAUAUUCCAGGCGUAUAAUUUAAUCAUCUCGCGCCUACCACGCACCCGGUCAGCCAAAUACAAAUUACCGAAGUAUUAUAAUAGCACUAUAAAAAAAAAAAAUAGUCGCCGAAAACAAGAUGACGUUUACGUCGUCAGACAAACAAACGGGACGACGGACGACGAACUCAAUUUUCGUCAUAAAGAAAUCGCAUGAGAGAAUAAUCUUAAUCAUGUAAAACUGAAUAGUGUACAAUAAAUUAUAGUAUGACGAAAUAAUAAUACCAUAUAUUAUACAAAAUGUCAAUGAAAUAAUAAUAAUAAUUAAUAAUAAAUUAUGCGUGUGCGUGUUUUUUUUCCUCUCCCACCACCCUAAACAAUCUGUUACAGACAAACAGAGAAACGUUUACAGAUGAUAACGACGAUGACGACAAAAUUAAUGCCGCCUGAUUAUACGUUCACAAAAAAAAUUUGACUUAUUGAUACAUAAAUAUUGAUGCAAAUUAUCGAGAUUUAUACCUAAAUUGUUUUUUUUUUUUAUUUUUUCUCUAUCAGUGACAAGUGGGCAAGAAUUUACACCCGUACCCGAUGUGAUUAAAUUUCAGUUUUCAAAUAGUUAACUGGGAAUAAAACGUCGAAUAUCUCACUGUAUUUAUUUUUAAAUCGGUUUUAUAUAUUAUACUUUCUAACCUGAUACAAAAUUUUGAAUCAUACUCAUUCUCAACUAACGUCUCAUAAGCCAUAAUUAUAAGAGAACGGUAGUAAAUGCUAGUAAUAUCUUGUAGUACCUAUGGUACCUAACCUAACCUAUGGUACUACUAAUAGUUACUGAAACUUACAAUAACCGGUUACAAUUUGUAUAUUUGUUUAAUUUAUAAUCUUCUUUUUAAAGUAAUCAAUAUAAAAUUUUAAAGUUUUUGAACUUUUUAUUUUUUAACUUAA